UACGGAGGGGGCUAGCGUUGUUCGGAAUUACUGGGCGUAAAGCGCACGUAGGCGGACUGGAAAGUUAGAGGUGAAAUCCCAGGGCUCAACCUUGGAACUGCCUUUAAAACUAUCAGUCUAGAGUUCGAGAGAGGUGAGUGGAACUCCGAGUGUAGAGGUGAAAUUCGUAGAUAUUCGGAAGAACACCAGUGGCGAAGGCGGCUCACUGGCUCGGUACUGACGCUGAGGUGCGAAAGCGUGGGGAGCAAACAGG
rnacentral:rRNA from 1 species